rnacentral:tRNA from 1 species
GAUUAUUUAACUAUUUAAGUAUAUAUUUUGAAAAUAUAAAAAAGGAAGUAUUCCUAAUAAUCU